rnacentral:lncRNA from 1 species
CUUAGGCAGCCACACAGUUGCCAUUCCAGGCUUGUGUGGGAGAAGAUUGUUGUGCGCCUGUGUCUCUCCGCCUGAGCGGCUCCAGCCCCUAGUUUAAAAAGGUACAGAUGGUUAGAACACAAAAGUGUGACGUCAGGCUUGGUUUCUAAAACUCCCCUUUUUCCCUACAUCACUUGUGUCUCUUGGGACAGACUUUAUUUAGAGGAUCGAUUUGAGCCUAAUGGCAAUCUAGAGAAAUGAGGACCUAUACCAGGACUGUCAGUUUAUUGUAAUGCUGCACUUAAAAAUAAACUUUACCCCCAUAAAAAUUGAAAAUAUUAGAGUACACGAUUAAAAGCACCAAUGAUUAGUAGUACAAUCCUUUCAUUAUUCUUUGAUAUAUCCAUGUCAUGACUCUGUUGAAACAAUUUUUCUAAAAUUACAUUCUUCAUCAUAGAUAUUUCCUAAUUAAAAUGGAGGAAUUCUCUUAACUGCAAUGUUACCGUUAUGAUGAGGCUAAAAAGAAAGUCAAAUGGCUCUUGCUUUCUCUUAAAUACCUAACUCCUUUCUCCUUUACUUUGCCAAUUCUGGCAGAUAAAAUACUACUUGUCACCCAACCUCUACUUAUCAAUUCAGUGAAGGUGAAUGAAUUAUUGUUGUGAAGGCAUUUGUGUUCUCCAAAACAAAAGCAUUGUAACAAUAUUACUAGAGUAGUUUGUGAUUACAAGUCACUUUUGUAAAUAAUUACCCAUGUGCUGUAUCCAAUAGAAUUCUACCUUAGAAGGUGUAAGAAUUCACCCACAAUUAUACAUAUGCUUAGACAUUGGAUGUUGAGCCAGGAAUUCAUACAUAAACACACCCCCAACUCCAGUAUUCUCUGGGUUAAAGUUCCAGAAUUUAAAAGUGCAACAGGAGCUUGAUUAGGAGCAUGGCAAAGAUUGACUUUUAGGAACACAAGGGUUUUUGAGAGUAUAAAUUUAAAUUAUAGACUGAAUAUACAUUUUAAUAGGUUUUGUGAUUGAGCUAAUGAAACUUUUCAGUACUCUUCUGAAAAUUUCUAAUUAACAGUAAUUAAUGAAAAUGUGCACUAUCUCUACAUCAUGGUAGUUAUGAGCUGUCCUGACAGAGGAUGAGGAUGCUUUAGAUCUAACUGGGUUUUCACCCUUCAUCUGUUUAACUUCUCUGUGUUUCAGAGUCACCAUUUGUCAAGAAUUAAGCUUAUUACCUGGCCUACUCAUCUCACACAAUCAAGAUAAUGAUAUGUAAGACUGGUAACUCUGAGGGACUGUUCAAAUUUCAUAUUAGUAUUGCAGCAACUAUAUUUCUAUGGCUGGUAGGAGGGUAACAACUACUCUGGAAAAUAGAAAUAAAAAAACCUAUAUAAUUGAGCAAUA